UGGGGAAUAUUGCACAAUGGGCGCAAGCCUGAUGCAGCCAUGCCGCGUGUAUGAAGAAGGCCUUCGGGUUGUAAAGUACUUUCAGUCGGGAGGAAGGUGGUAUGGUUAAUAACCUUAUCAAUUAACGUUACCGACAGAAGAAGCACCGGCUAACUCCGUGCCAGCAGCCGCGGUAAUACGGAGGGUGCAAGCGUUAAUCGGAAUUACUGGGCGUAAAGCGCACGCAGGCGGUUGAUUGAGUCAGAUGUGAAAUCCCCGGGCUUAACCCGGGAAUUGCAUCUGAUACUGGUCAGCUAGAGUCUUGUAGAGGGGGGUAGAAUUCCAUGUGUAGCGGUGAAAUGCGUAGAGAUGUGGAGGAAUACCGGUGGCGAAGGCGGCCCCCUGGACAAAGACUGACGCUCAGGUGCGAAAGCGUGGGGAGCAAACAGG
rnacentral:rRNA from 1 species